rnacentral:rRNA from 1 species
UACAGAGGUCUCAAGCGUUGUUCGGAUUCAUUGGGCGUAAAGGGUGUGUAGGUGGCGCCGUAAGUCGGGUGUGAAAUCUCGGGGCUUAACUCCGAAACUGCAUUCGAUACUGCGGCGCUUGAGGACUGGAGAGGAGACUGGAAUUCAUGGUGUAGCAGUGAAAUGCGUAGAGAUCAUGAGGAAGACCAGUGGCGAAGGCGGGUCUCUGGACAGUUCCUGACACUGAGGCACGAAGGCCAGGGGAGCAAACGGG